ACUCUCAUGAAAUGGAUUAAUUUCCUUAAAGAACGAGGUGAAAUAACGGAAGAGAAGCACGCUGAACUGCUCAGAGCAAAAGAAAGUUUUAUUAGCUGUUAAACAACCUGGACGACGCAUAUCUCCACUGGCAGACCGGCAAUGAGUAGGAGAAGAAGUUCUGUGUUAAGCUCGGGUCUAAGUCCUUCUUUUCGAGCGAGCCCCUUGACCAGCAAGUAACUAUUACAGAGAAUAAAUCCGCACAUUUGGGAAGCAGAGUUCGUAGAAGAAGUGUAGUUCAAGCACCCUUACUGGGGACUCCUGAGGUGAUAUCUCCAAGAAGUAAUAGCUUCAUCUUGUCCCUUGAUUCAAAUGACAUGGCAGAAGAGAAUGAAUAUAAAUAAUACAUUGAACAAUUUUAGAUUUAUUGAUAAUUUAAAAAAUUAGUUUAAAUUUUGAGCUGAUCUAACAGCGAAGCAUGAAAUGUUGGAGAUGAGCCAAACUUUUCUAAAAACAUUUGCGAUCAAUAUUUGAUGUUCAAGUAAA